rnacentral:misc_RNA from 1 species
CUAGAACAUUAUGAUCUUGAGAUCAAGCAUUGAAGAUUAUAGCCCUGCUCCAGGAUGCCACUUUAUGCUGCAUCCAACACUUUGUUUCUGAAUUGAUGAGACUGGCUGGGCACACUAAGAACACAAUCUAUCGCCAGACUUAGGUCCCUUCCAGUGACAGGCACAUUAUUAUUGGGUCGGGAAUCAUCAAACUGGCCAUGAUACACCAGGUCAAAUGGCCUUCGACCAUCCUUUUUAAACAGAAAAAACUCCGGCGUGCAAACUGCUCCAAAAUUUCGAGCAACUUCUUGUGACUCAUCAUAUAGAUAAGGAAAUGGGUAAUUAAAUAUUUUAGCCUCUUCUGCCAUGAAUUCUGGCCCAUCCUGCGGGUGAGUAGCCACAGAAUUUGAAGAUAUGGCAACAACUGCAAGUCCUUUCUUCAUAUAGAAAUUUGAAAGCUUCACUAUAUCCUUC